UUACGGCCGUACCAUGCUGAAUAUACCGGUUCUCGAUAGAUCACCGAAGUCAAGCAUCAUUGGGUGCGGUCAAUAGUUGGGUGGGUGACCACCUGGGAACACCGCGUGCCGUU